rnacentral:lncRNA from 1 species
AGAAGACAACAAAAGUCCAUGAAGAACAGGGCACUUCUCAGCAACCCUCAAGGAAGCAAUUGAGCCAGCGUCUUCCUUUGUUGCCCAGACUGGUCUUGAACUCUUGGCUUCCAGAGAUCCUCCUGCCUUUGCCUCCCAAAGUGAUGGAAUUACAGGUGUGAGCCACCAUGCCCAGCCUUGGGAAAUUCUGAACACUGAAAUUAAAUGGAUAAUUUCCUAUAGAAAUUCUACAGA